CACGUAGGGCGCAAGCGUUGUCCGGAAUUAUUGGGCGUAAAGAGCUCGUAGGCGGUUUGUCGCGUCUGCUGUGAAAACCUAAGGCUCAACCUUGGGCUUGCAGUGGGUACGGGCAGACUAGAGUGCGGUAGGGGUGACUGGAAUUCCUGGUGUAGCGGUGGAAUGCGCAGAUAUCAGGAGGAACACCGAUGGCGAAGGCAGGUCACUGGGCCGCAGCUGACGCUGAGGAGCGAAAGCAUGGGGAGCGAACAGG
rnacentral:rRNA from 1 species